rnacentral:misc_RNA from 1 species
CGAAUGAAAUGCGGUCACACCGCGCCGCAAAGAAUGUAUAAAAGGGGGCUGCCAUCCGCAGAGCGAAUAAAUAACGGUUCGCGAGCAACAACUUUUCAUUUCGAGAGCGGAGUAAUUUUUCCAGCCGACAAACACAGUGAUUGAAAACCCAAACGAGAUUUAUUUCGAAACGCGACAAGAAAUUGUUACAUCAAAGGAGCUGCAACGACUAAAAUCCGCGAAGGAAAACAGUGGAAAGUGCGAGAAAAUACAUAUAACAGAGAAAAAACCAGUGACGCAUUAGCAACAACAACAAACAGUCAUCGAACGAUUUAUAGAAUCUAACGCAGAGUCCAAAGCAUGAAUCUAUCAUUCGCUGGCUGCGGAUUCCUGGGCAUCUACCACGUCGGAGUGGCCGUCUGCUUCAAGAAGUAUGCACCGCAUCUGUUGCUGGAGAAGAUUGGAGGCGCUUCGGCCGGUUCCCUGGCCGCCUGCUGUCUCCUCUGCGAUUUGCCAUUGGGCAGCAUGACUUCGGACUUCUUUAGGGUCGUGAACGAAGCUCGUCGCUACUCCCUGGGUCCCUUCAGUCCCUCCUUCAACAUCCAGACCUGCCUGCUGGAGGGUCUACAGAAGCAUCUACCAGACGAUGCUCACAAGCGGGUCAAUGGACGGCUGCACAUUUCGCUAACCCGCGUGUACGAUGGCAAAAACGUGAUCAUCUCGGAGUUUGAGUCCCGGGAAGAGGUCCUGCAGGCGCUGUUGUGUGCGUGCUUCAUACCCGGAUUCUCCGGCAUCUUGCCGCCCAGAUUCCGUGGCGUUCGCUACAUGGAUGGUGCCUUCUCGGAUAAUCUGCCCAUUCUGGACGAGAACACCAUUACGGUGAGUCCGUUCUGCGGCGAGAGUGAUAUUUGCCCGAGGGAUCAGAGCUCGCAGCUCUUCCAUCUGAAUUGGGCCAACACCAGCAUCGAGAUCUCCAGACAGAACAUCAAUCGCUUCGUGCGCAUCCUAUUCCCGCCGCGUCCCGAGUUUCUGUCCAAGUUCUGCCAGCAGGGAUUCGACGAUGCUCUGCAAUUCCUGCAUCGGAACAAUCUGAUCAACUGCCGACGCUGCGUGGCGGUUCAGUCGACAUUCGUGGUUUCCGAGACGGUGGCCCAGCCCCAGGAGUUCGAUCCCGAGUGCAGGGAGUGCAAGAAGCACAGAAAGGACGCUUUGAGCUCAAACAUGCCCCAAACGGUGCUGGAUGUCAUCCAGGACUAUAUCGAACAAGCCAAUAAGGGUCUGGCCAACUGGAUCUUCAAGCAUCGCGGCAUUAAGCUGCUUUCCCUGCCAGCCACAGUGCCCAUGGACUUUCUGCUGGCCACCAUUUCAAAAAUAUCAGCACUGACGCCCAAAUUGACCAAGCAGGCCAGAGUAAUGGUGGAGGACUUUAUUCUGCAGUUGAACAACGCCAUGCGGAUACGAUUGCUAAAUAAAUUCACGCUCUAUGACCAGCCCCACUUCGAUGCCACAGGACUUCUUCAUUCCAGCCGCUUAUAUGGACCCCGUGUUUCCAUCCUUGUGGAUGAAUGUGGAGCCACACCGCUAGAGGACGAUGUCGACAACUUUGAGCAUGUCCUCAAAAUGACCACGCACAACGACGCUCUAUAUGCCUAUUACUACACCGACAGCAAUACGAACAAGGUGAAAGUAACCGAGAUCUUUGACUUUGACGAAAUAACGGAGCACGACAAGCUGGCCACCGAUCUGCAGAUCUACGAAGGAUCCGUCGAAGAUCACCCCAAUCCCCACCAGCACAGCCACAAUACGGUGGUCAGCGAAUGGAAUGGCGUCGAAUCAGUACAAGUAAUGCCCACGACUCCUGAACUACACGACGUAGCCUUUUAAAGCACUUACAAACUAAACGACUAUAAAUGCACCUCCAUAACCCUUCACCCACUCAAGCAUUAAGUCCAAAUUUUAAAUCGUUGGCAGACUUCUUCAUCGAUGCGCAUACACCAAAUGUGGAGGAUAGUAAAACAACAGCGCCACAAUUCGCCCGCCUGGACCUGGAGACCGAGUCAGAUGCUAGUGUGCUCAGUGAUCCCGAGGUUGACCAGACUUCUAGCUCCACGGCCUCCACGCACAGCAGCGACAUGUAUAUAGAAAUUGAGGGGUAAUUAGGGAUGGGCAGGGGGGCAAUCCUCUUAGGAACUGUAACGAAACAUCUCCAAAGCGGCUCGUAGCAAAGCGAAAAGCCUAGUAGCGUUUCCAUUAGUCUAAUUUAGUUUUAGUACGACCAACGUAUGUACCUAACUUAACUUAGCCGUAUGCUGCCAUUGUAUCAUCGUCAGUUUGUAAGCGGCAAUUAGCGAAUAAUUGCAUUCUUGUUAUUAGUCACCCUCACACGACUUGUAUUACAUCCAAAUCCCCAUCUGUGUUUAGCUUAAGUUGAUAAUGUGUAAACAAUAAAA